AGCCUAUUUAAAAUAAGAAAGCACUUUACACUGACUGUAUAGAAAGAGGAGGCACAGUAAAUGCACCCCAUAUACACCUCAACCCAGGCCCUUUGUCUGGUCUGUAUUGUGAAUUGGGGAACAAUA